rnacentral:rRNA from 1 species
GGCUCAGGAUGAACGCUAGCGGCAGGCUUAACACAUGCAAGUCGAGGGGCAGCGGGUCCAGCAAUGGAUGCCGGCGACCGGCGCAAGGGUGCGUAACGCGUGGGCGACAUGCCCGUGACUGGGGGAUAACCGAUGGAAACGUCGCCUAAUCCCGCAUAACACUGAUGACUGCAUGGUCGUCAGUUAAAAACUCCGGUGGUCACGGAUUGGCUCGCGUAUCAUUAGCUAGUCGGCGGGGUAACGGCCCACCGAGGCGACGAUGAUUAGGGGUUCUGAGAGGAAGGUCCCCCCACAAUGGAACUGAGACACGGUCCAUACUCCUACGGGAGGCAGCAGUGAGGAAUAUUGGUCAAUGGGCGGAAGCCUGAACCAGCCAUGCCGCGUGCAGGACGACGGCCCCCUAUGGGUUGUAAACUGCUUUUGAGCGGGAGCAAUAAGGAUCUCGAGCAGGUCUGAUGAGAGUACCGUUCGAAUAAGCAUCGGCUAACUCCGUGCCAGCAGCCGC